ensembl:lncRNA
UUCUUAGUGCACUGCAUUGACAUUUACUACUCAUUCUCUAAAUGAAAGGCAGGCUAAAGCACAUUAAUGAGCCUCCUGAUUACUGCAGCUCUUGAGAAAUUAACGACAAUGCAGCAUGCACUUAACUCUUCCCUACUCUGCUUUUGGACAGCCCUGUGAGCUGAGCUGCGCUUUCUUCAUCACCCGGCCAAGAACCAGUCCAUGUGUCUCCAGCCAGGAAGGCUUCCCAGAUUAUGAUUCCACACAGUGGCACGGCUGAAAACUGUUCCUUGUCACCGGACCUAUUGCAUAUCUGGGACAACAAGCCUUGGGCGUCAGAGCCACAGGUGCAGUGACGAGAAGACCUGACCUCCCAGGCAUUGCAUUGUGCACAGCAAGCCCCACAGCCCAGAAGGGCCAAGCAGUCAC